UCACAGGGCACACAGAGACGAACAACCAUUCGCACUCACACUCACACCUAGGGACAAUUUAGAGCGUCCAAUCAGCCUGCCACGCAUGUUUUUGGAAUGUGGGAGGAAACCGGAGCACCCGGAGAAAACCCACGCAGGCCCGGGGAGAACAUGCAAACUCCACACAGGGAGGCCGGAGCUGGAAUCGAACCCGGUACCUCUGCACUGUGAAGCCGACGUGCUAACCACUGGACUACCGGGCCGCCUAUAUACAUGUUAGUGACCGCAUAUUAUUUUCAAAAUAUUUUCCACAGGAAUGUUCAAAUGCAAAAGUGUUUUGGUCAAGUGCAUGUUUUUCCCCUUUUUUUGUCUUUACGCAUGUCUUCUAUGUGCUGAGUUUGUUUUCAAGAGAAAUGUAGAUGAGUGCAUUCAUUUAAUGAGAAAAUAUUCAAAAGCUUCCUUUUAUUGCCAAUAUUUCUCUCAUGAAGCAAAAAAAAAAAGAUAAACGAUCAGUGGGCCUGAGCGCUUCACACUCAUUGUUCUGUGUAGUGAGAGCUAUCUGAAAUGUAGUAACCGUAGUUCACUUUACUAGACGUUCGUGACUUGAGUUUAUAUGGUACGGUACAUAUUGUUUUGAAAUGGGAUGGGACGAAUGUUGCACUGUGAGAGGAUAAUGAGAUGCCAUCUUAAAUGUGAUGUGACUGACGUUUGCAUUCGACUUGCAGUGUAAAAAAGAAUGUUUUCAUAAAACAACAUUACGUUAUUUUCUGGAAGAACCUUUGUACAUAUUGAGACACAUUGUGUAUUUGAUGGUUCAUUUUACUGUGACACAAAUGGCUAUGUGUAAUACGACCGUUGCAAUUCUCUUGCACAUUAAGCAUUUCAUUUCAGAUAAUGUAAUGCAGCCGGUAUCUGUGGGGAUGAGAAAGAACAAACCUGGGAGAUAUGAAAAGAUUCGAGUUUCUGCCGUAGAAGUUAAAAACCAAAGCAGAAUGUCCCCUGGUGACUGUUGACUAAAAUGUUAUUCUGGUUGUUUGAUGCUGUUGCACAUCUGAUUUGCAUAUGUUUGAGUUCAGAACACAACCGCACGGGAAACAGUUUGACUUUAGGUUAUGUUUUAAUGAGGAAAUAUUCAAGUAAACCUUUCCACUGGAA